GACGAACGCUGGCGGCGUGCUUAACACAUGUCAAGUCGAACGGGGUCCAUCUGGUCGCAAGACCAGAGAAGACCGAGUGGCGAACGGGUGCGUAACACGUGAGAAACCUGUCCCGGUCUCUGGAAUAACAGUCGGAAACGACUGCUAAUACCGGAUGCCGUCGGAGCGUCGCAUGGCGCGCUGACGAAAGGGCUACCGGAUCGGGAGGGUCUCGCGGCCUAUCAGCUUGUUGGUGAGGUAACGGCUCACCAAGGCAUCGACGGGUAGCUGGUCUGAGAGGAUGAUCAGCCACACUGGGACUGAGACACGGCCCAGACUCCUACGGGAGGCAGCAGUGGGGAAUCUUGCACAAUGGGCGAAAGCCUGAUGCAGCAACGCCGCGUGCGGGAUGAAGGCCCUAGGGUUGUAAACCGCUUUCAGCAGGGAAGAAAAUGACGGUACCUGUAGAAG
rnacentral:rRNA from 1 species